rnacentral:rRNA from 1 species
GUGAGGAAUAUUGGGCAAUGGGCGCAAGCCUGACCCAGCCAUGCCGCGUGAAGGUAGAAGGCCCUAUGGGUUGUAAACUUCUUUUAUACGGGAAGAAACUUCCGAACGUGUUCGGAAUUGACUGUACCGUAGGAAUAAGCAUCGGCUAACUCCGUGCCAGCAGCCGCGGUAAUACGGAGGAUGCAAGCGUUAUCCGGAUUUAUUGGGUUUAAAGGGUGCGUAGGCGGAAUGAUAAGUCAGUGGUGAAAGCCUGCGGCUUAACCGUAGAACUGCCAUUGAUACUGUUGUUCUUGAGUAUAGUUGAGGUGGGCGGAAUGUGUAAUGUAGCGGUGAAAUGCUUAGAUAUUACACAGAACACCGAUUGCGAAGGCAGCUCACUAAGCUGUUACUGACGCUGAGGCACGAAAGCGUGGGGAGCAAACAGGAUUAGAAACCCUUGUAGUCC